UUCCUUUCUCCCUCACGUGCGUGACCAAACCCUUCCCCCUCCAAAUUCCUUUCUCCCUCACGUGCGUGACCAAACCCUUCCCCCUCCAUUUUUUUUUCUUUCGCCUGCCGCCGUCCUUCUCACCGCCGACCAUGACCAGUAGUUUCGAUCUCACCGCCGCUCGGUGCUGACCUUGACCGCCAGCCCAGAUCCUAGCCGCGAAUAGCCCAGAUUCGACUUCGGCCUCUUCGCGCCUCAACCGUUCGCGCCGCCCAGAUCCGACUUCGGUCUCCCACGCCGAAGUUGCCCGACUUCGGUCUCCCACAGUGUUCGAGCCGCUUCGUCCGAGACCGCUCCAUAACUGCUCUAGACCACGAACCGACCAGUGCCACUCUAGAUGCAUCUGCGCCAGAGCCGCCGCCGCUAGCGCCACUCUUAUCUUUCAAUCAAUUGGAUCUGCGUCGGAUUCCUCCUGUCGCCACCGUCGUUGCUUGUGUCGUCAUUAGAUUUAUCAACUUGGGUAAGAUUUCUACUGUUUGGGGUUGUUUUCAAUUGAUUAUUGACUGCCCAUUUACUUUUGGCACCAAUCGAUUGAGGCCUUUAUAUGUCAACUUUGGAUUCAUGUUCUUGAAAAUAUUAAGAUGUCAUUUGGUGAAGUUGGAAUUGUUUUAGCAGAUUUGGUGCGCCUCAUAUCACACCUUAGGGUCUUACUUGGAGUUACUGGUUUUGUUGGCUGUCUGGGAUUGUCUGCAGAUUUUCGAUUUAGGUUGGAUUCAAAGCCUUCCAAGAGUUGUAAGAGGGUUAAUUACUUGGAUUAAAUUGUGACCAAAUUUAAGGUAAGGGUAGAUAUGCACCGGCGAUGGACAAGCGAAAUUCGUGAUCGAGCUACUGGGACUAGUU